CGGGUAUCUUCCAGCAGCAUUAAAUAGCGCCGUUCACGAAAGGACAACGUUAUUUGCGUUUGGGGACAAGAGGCCUUAAAGGACUCUAGGACACCAGGACGAAAAGCAAAUACAGUAAUGAAGCCUAUAAUUGCGGUAAUGUUGUUGGUUCUUCUUUUUGCAACCUGUGAGGAAGGCCUCGGAGCAAAGUGCUGCCCCGAGGUGACUGGGCCUGGUAUCUGUGUUGAGGCCUGCGAUGAUUGCGCUAAGAACGAAAUGUGCUGCUCAAAUGGAUGUGGUCACGUGUGCAUGAAACCCGUCAACUGUUAAGGAAUCGGGAGGUGACAUGAGUGAAGCCGCUGACACAAAGAAAAAUAAGAAUAACUGCAUCAACUAUGUCCACCAUGACGUCACUUUCGAAAAGAGAAUUAUUAUUUGAACUGGAAAACGUCUUUUGAAACAACAUUUUCGUUAAAUUGAUAAAGCAGGGACCACACUGGACAAUUUUAUUAAAAGAGCAAAAUCACGAUCAAAUAACUGGAUGACUUUAACUGGCUACGCGACAAGAUUCAAUUAUAAAAUUAAAAUGUAAAAUGGCUGAAUGCAACAUCGCUUUCAUUUAAUAUACAUUUUGCGCUUAAUACUGGUACUGCCAAUAUUUCAGAUUUUCUUUUCUACCUUUUAGAUUGUCCACAAGAGGUAGCAGAGAAAUAAAAAUAAAUAUGGGCUAUUUGGUUCAAAAAUAUUA